rnacentral:rRNA from 1 species
AGUUAGAGUAGUAUUAGUUAUGAUCUUAAAACUUAAAAAAUUUGGCGGUAUUUUAAUCUAAUCAGAGGAACUUGUUUUAUAAUUGAUAAUCCUCGUUGAAUCUUACUUAAAUUUGUUUAAUUUGUAUAUCGUUGUCAUAAGAAUAUCUUAAAAGAGAAAAAAUUUUCUAAUUUAAAAAUAAUUAAUUAUGUCAGAUCAAGGUGCAGUUUAUAUUUAAGAAAAAGUGAGUUACAUUUAAAAAAAUUAAUGACGGAUUUAAGUUUAAAAUUAUAAUGAAGGAGGAUUUGAUUGUAAAUUUUAAAAGAUUAUAAAGUUGAUUUUAGUUCUAAAAUAUGC